CAGCAGCCGCGGUAAUACGUAGGGUGCGAGCGUUGUCCGGAAUUAUUGGGCGUAAAGAGCUCGUAGGCGGCUUGUCGCGUCGAAUGUGAAAGCCCGGGGCUUAACUCCGGGUCUGCAUUCGAUACGGGCAGGCUAGAGUGUGGUAGGGGAGAUCGGAAUUCCUGGUGUAGCGGUGAAAUGCGCAGAUAUCAGGAGGAACACCGGUGGCGAAGGCGGAUCUCUGGGCCAUUACUGACGCUGAGGAGCGAAAGCGUGGGGAGCGAACAGGAUUAGAUACCCCCGUAGUCCCUGUCUCUUAUAC
rnacentral:rRNA from 1 species